GGCGCUGUGACUGACCGGCAAGGUGUGGGGUUGGCAACCCCUAGCCAUCAGAGGACAAGCCCCUCUGGUGAACGGGUUCGAUUCCCGUCAGCGCCUCCA
rnacentral:tRNA from 1 species